UACGUAGGGGGCGAGCGUUAAUCGGAAUUACUGGGCGUAAAGCGUGCGCAGGCGGUUUUGUAAGCCAGAUGUGAAAUCCCCGGGCUUAACCUGGGAAUGGCAUUUGGGACUGCAAGGCUGGAGUGUGGCGGAGGAGACUGGAAUUCCUGGUGUAGCAGUGAGAUGCGUAGAUAUCAGGAGGAAUACCGAUGGCGAAGGCAGGUCUCUGGGCUGACACUGACGCUCAUGCACGAAAGCGUGGGGAGCAAACGGG
rnacentral:rRNA from 1 species